AUUGAACGCUGGCGGCAGGCCUAACACAUGCAAGUCGAACGAGUGGCGAACGGGUGAGUAAUGCCUGGGAAACUGCCUGCUGGUGGGGGAUAACUAUUGGAAACGGUAGCUAAUACCGCAUACCAUCGGAUGUGCCCAUGUGGGAUUAGCUAGUAGGUGGGGUAAAGGCUCACCUAGGCGACGAUCCCUAGCUGGUCUGAGAGGAUGACCAGACACACGGGAACUGAGACACGGGCCAGACUCCUACGGGAGGCAGCAGGGGGGAAUAUUGCACAAGGGGCGCAAGCCUGAUGCAGCCAUGCCGCGUGUAUGAAGAAGGCCUUCGGGUUGUAAAGUACUUUCAGCGGGGAGGCGUUACCCGCAGAAGAAGCACCGGCUAACUCCGUGCCAGCAGCCGCGGUAAUAC
rnacentral:rRNA from 1 species